rnacentral:misc_RNA from 1 species
GCAAACUUGGUCAUUUAGAGGAAGUAAAAGUCGUAACAAGGUUUCCGUAGGUGAACCUGCGGAAGGAUCAUUAACGUAUCUCUGACGGGGUGCGGCUCGCCCUGCUCCGGUCCACACGGGCCGUGCAGCGGGUGUCCGUCCCCGCUCAUACCUUCACAAACCCACCGUGAACCUUCACGACGGAGGGGCAGCUGGCUAGCGCCGCCGCCUCAAAGUCGCAUACCAAACUCCAGUUGCAAAGAAUGUAAUGCGGACCUAGUGCCGCCUAAUCACAUAACAACUUUCAACAACGGAUCUCUUGGCUCUCGCAUCGAUGAAGAACGCAGC